GGAGGGAUGUGUGAGCGGUUGAAACAGCAGGUCUCGAAAACCUGUAGGGGUCACACCCUCGUGGGUUCGAAUCCCACUCCCUCCG
rnacentral:tRNA from 1 species